rnacentral:rRNA from 1 species
GCUUACACAUGCAAGUCGAGCGGUAAGGCCCUUCGGGGUACACGAGCUGGCGAACGGGUGAGUAACACGUGAGCAACCUGCCCCUGACUCCGGGAUAAGCGGUGGAAACGCCGUCUAAUACCGGAUAUGACCUGCCACCUCAUGGUGGCGGGUGGAAAGUUUUGUCGGUCAGGGAUGGGCUCGCGGCCUAUCAGCUUGUUGGUGGGGUAACGGCCUACCAAGGCGAUUACGGGUAGCCGGCCUGAGAGGGCGACCGGCCACACUGGGACUGAGACACGGCCCAGACUCCUGCGGGAGGCAGCAGUGGGGAAUAUUGCACAAUGGGCGAAAGCCUGAUGCAGCGACGCCGCGUGGGGGAUGACGGCCUUCGGGUUGUAAACCUCUUUUACCACCAACGCAGGCUCCACGUUUUCGUGGGGUUGACGGUAGGUGGGGAAUAAGGACCGGCUAACUACGUGCCAGCAGCCGCGGUAAUACGUAGGGUCCGAGCGUUGUCCGGAAUUAUUGGGCGUAAAGAGCUCGUAGGCGGCAUGUCGCGUCUGCUGUGAAAGACCGGGGCUUAACUCCGGUUCUGCAGUGGAUACGGGCAUGCUAGAGGUAGGUAGGGGAAACUGGAAUUCCUGAGUGUAGCGGUGAAAUGCGCAGAUAUCAGGAGGAACACCGGUGGCGAAGGCGGGUUUCUGGGCCUUACCUGACGCUGAGGAGCGC